rnacentral:tmRNA from 1 species
GGGGGCGAAAUAGGAUCGACAAGAGUGUAAAGAUUGCUCUUUUACUCGGCAUUGUACCACCGUUAUCGGACUAAAUGAGUAGUUGCAAAUGACAACUAUGCGGAAGCACGUCUCGCCGCUUAAGCGGUGCGAAUGUUUCAAACUAAGUCUUAAUCUGUCGCAAGGUUAAGCGGGGUUCGAAGG